rnacentral:rRNA from 1 species
AGUGAACGCUGGCGGUAGGCCUAACACAUGCAAGUCGAACGGCAGCACAGUAAGAGCUUGCUCUUACGGGUGGCGAGUGGCGGACGGGUGAGGAAUACAUCGGAAUCUACUUUUUCGUGGGGGAUAACGUAGGGAAACUUACGCUACUACCUCAUACGACCUACGGGUGAAAUCAGGGGAUCUUCGGACCUUGCGCGAAUGAAUGAGCCGAUGUCGGAUUAGCUAGUUGGCGGGGUAAAGGCCCACCAAGGCGACGAUCCGUAGCUGGUCUGAGAGGAUGAUCAGCAACACUGGACCUGGGCAACGGUCAAGACUCCUAGGGGGGGCAGCAGUGGGGAAUAUUGGACAAUGAGGGAAAGCCUAAUGCGGAAAGACCGCGGGGGGGAGGAAGGCCUCCGGGUUGUAAAGCCCUUUUGUUGAGAAAGAAAAGCAGCAGGUUAAUACCCCGAUGUUCUGACGGUACCCAAAGAAAAAGCACCGGCUAACUUCGUG